GACGACGCUGGCGGCGUGCUUAACACAUGCAAGUCGAGCGAGAAAGCGGCUUCGGCCGUGAGUACAGCGGCGAACGGGUGAGUAACACGUGGGCAACCUGCCCUGGAGACUGGGAUAACGCCCCGAAAGGGGGCGCUAAUACCGGAUGACGCGCGACCUGCCAAGUGGGUCGCGCCAAAUGGUAGCUUCGGCUUCUGCUCUGGGAUGGGCCCGCGCCGGAUUAGCUUGUUGGUGAGGUAACGGCUCACCAAGGCUACGAUCCGUAGCUGGUCUGAGAGGACGAUCAGCCACACUGGGACUGAGACACGGCCCAGACUCCUACGGGAGGCAGCAGUGGGGAAUCUUGCGCAAUGGGCGAAAGCCUGACGCAGCAACGCCGCGUGAGUUGAAGACGGCCUUCGGGUUGUAAAGCUCUGUCAGGAGGGACGAAGCCACUCAGGUGAAUAGCCGAGAGGGUGACGGUACCUCCAGAGGAAGCCCCGGCUAACUACGUGCCAGCCGCAGC
rnacentral:rRNA from 1 species